AGUGAACGCUGGCGGCGUGCCUAAUACAUGCAAGUCGAACGAAGUGGCGAUCGUGUGGGUAAUAUAUAGUUAAUCUGCCCUACACAGACGAAUAACCGUUGGAAACGGCUGCUAAUACCUCAUAGUGUAGGAUGAGAAUAUAUCGUAUCAGCUAGUUGGUAAGGUAAUGGCUUACAAAGGCUAUGACGCGUAACUGGUCUGAGAGGAUGAUCAGUCAAAUGGGGAAUGAGACACGGUCCAAACUCCUACGAGAGGCAACAGUAAGGAAUAUGGCGCAAUGGGGGAAACCCUGACGCAGCAAGGCCGCGUGGAAGAUGACACUUUUCGGAGCGUAAACUCCUUUUAUCAGGAAAGCGGUGCCUGAUGAAUAAGCACCGGCUAACUCCGUGCCAGCAGCCGCGGUAAUAC
rnacentral:rRNA from 1 species